rnacentral:rRNA from 1 species
AGUGAACGCUGGCGGUAGGCCUAACACAUGCAAGUCGAACGGCAGCACAGGAGAGCUUGCUCUCUAGGUGGCGAGUGGCGGACGGGUGAGGAAUACAUCGGAAUCUGCCCAGUCGUGGGGGAUAACGUAGGGAAACUUACGCUAAUACCGCAUACGACCUUCGGGUGAAAGAGGGGGAUCGCAAGACCUCUCGCGAUUGGAUGAGCCGAUGUCGGAUUAGCUAGUUGGCGGGGUAAUGGCCCACCAAGGCGACGAUCCGUAGCUGGUCUGAGAGGAUGAUCAGCCACACUGGAACUGAGACACGGUCCAGACUCCUACGGGAGGCAGCAGUGGGGAAUAUUGGACAAUGGGCGCAAGCCUGAUCCAGCCAUACCGCGUGGGUGAAGAAGGCCUUCGGGUUGUAAAGCCCUUUUGUUGGGAAAGAAAUCUUUCAGGCUAAUACCCUGGGAGGAUGACGGCACCCAAAGAAUAAGCACCGGCUAACUUCGUG